AACGCGAAGAACCUUACCUGGUCUUGACAUCCACAGAACCUUGUAGAGAUACGAGGGUGCCUUCGGGAACAGUGAGACAGGUGCUGCAUGGCUGUCGUCAGCUCGUGUUGUGAAAUGUUGGGUUAAGUCCCGCAACGAGCGCAACCCUUAUCCUUUGUUGCCAGCGGUCCGGCCGGGAACUCAAAGGAGACUGCCAGUGAUAAACUGGAGGAAGGUGGGGAUGACGUCAAGUCAUCAUGGCCCUUACGACCAGGGCUACACACGUGCUACAAUGGCGCAUACAAAGAGAAGCGACCUCGCGAGAGCAAGCGGACCUCAUAAAGUGCGUCGUAGUCCGGAUUGGAGUCUGCAACUCGACUCCAUGAAGUCGGAAUCGCUAGUAAUCGUGGAUCAGAAUGCCACGGUGAAUACGUUCCCGGGUCUUGUACACACGC
rnacentral:rRNA from 1 species